UACGUAGGGUGCGAGCGUUAAUCGGAAUUACUGGGCGUAAAGCGUGCGCAGGCGGUUCGUUGUGUCGGCGGUGAAAGCCCCGGGCUUAACCUGGGAAUGGCCGUCGAAACUGGCGAACUGGAGUGUGGCAGAGGGGGGUGGAAUUCCCAGUGUAGAGGUGAAAUUCGUAGAUAUUGGGAAGAACACCGGUGGCGAAGGCGGCGACCUGGUCCUUGACUGACGCUGAGGCGCGAAAGCGUGGGGAGCAAACAGG
rnacentral:rRNA from 1 species